GCUGACACAUCCCGGCCAAUCUCCAGCAGACCCUCCCUCCCAGACCCUCCUACUUCCUGGACAGCAUCCAUGUUGAAGGCAGCUUCAACAUGGAUGCUGUCCAGGAGGUGGGAGGGUCUGGGAGGGAGGGUCUGCUGGAGAUUGGCUGGGAUGUGUCAG